rnacentral:lncRNA from 1 species
CAGCUGAGCUGAGACUUUUGAAGACCUUUCAAGGCAUUAUCCCUUCCAGGAUAUCUACAGGGAAACAUUACUGAGAACUGACGUCAAAUACAUCAAUCCAUUUGAUGCUCAAUUGCAAGCAUGGUGCAAGUACUACUCUAAAUAAUACAAGCAGAACUCCACUAAUACAUAGUCUAGCUGCCUCUACUUUAAAAAAAAAAAAGGGAUGUAGUAUAGUUUCUCAGUGAUGCCUUAUGGAGCCCUAGUUUUAAAACCCUUCAAAGCAAUAGCUGUAUGAAAAGUACUAGAUGUGGCGGUAGCACUUGAGACAGAGAACCUAUACAACAGAGCCAUGGUGAGGAAAACAGCAUGGUACUGACACAAGGCAGACAUGUAAACCCACGGAAGAGAACAGGAGACCCAGACACAAAACAAUGAAGCCACAUCACUUCAUUUCGACGACGGUGUAAAAUACUCACGGUGGUGGGGCAGUCUUUUUGAACAAAAAAAAAAUACUGGGGAAAGUCACAUGCAGGAGAAUCAAAUUAUUGUCAAAAAAUUCUCACUCACCUCACUCAAAACCCAGUGCCAAGUGGUUCAAAGUCAUUAACGUAAGACUCAAAAACUCUGAAACCAGUGGAAGGAAAGUAGAGAAGACACUGAAAAACACAGGUGUAGGUGAGCGCCUUCUGCAUAGGACUCAAAUGCU